GGCGGCAGGCCUAACCAUGCAAGUCGAGCGCGCCCUUCGGGGUGAGCGGCGGACGGGUUAGUAACGCGUGGGAACGUACCCAGAUCUAAGGAAUAGCCACUGGAAACGGUGAGUAAUACCUUAUACGCCCUUCGGGGGAAAGAUUUAUCGGAUUUGGAUCGGCCCGCGUUAGAUUAGAUAGUUGGUGGGGUAAUGGCCUACCAAGUCUACGAUCUAUAGCUGGUUUUAGAGGAUGAUCAGCAACACUGGGACUGAGACACGGCCCAGACUCCUACGGGAGGCAGCAGUGGGGAAUCUUAGACAAUGGGCGCAAGCCUGAUCUAGCCAUGCCGCGUGAGUGAUGAAGGCCUUAGGGUCGUAAAGCUCUUUCGCCUGUGAUGAUAAUGACAGUAGCAGGUAAAGAAACCCCGGCUAACUCCGUGCCAGCAGCCGCGGUAAUACGGAGGGGGUUAGCGUUGUUCGGAAUUACUGGGCGUAAAGCGCACGUAGGCGGAUCAGAAAGUUAGGGGUGAAAUCCCGGGGCUCAACCUCGGAACUGCCUCUAAAACUCCUGGUCUAGAGUUCGAGAGAGGUGAGUGGAAUUCCAAGUGUAGAGGUGAAAUUCGUAGAUAUUUGGAGGAACACCAGUGGCGAAGGCGGCUCACUGGCUCGAUACUGACGCUGAGGUGCGAAAGUGUGGGGAGCAAACAGGAUUAGAUACCCUGGUAGUCCACACCGUAAACGAUGAAUGCCAGUCGUCGGCAAGUAUACUUGUCGGUGACACACCUAACGGAUUAAGCAUUCCCGCCUGGGGGAGUACGGGUCGCAAGAUUAAAACUCAAAGGAAUUGACGGGGCCCGGCACAAGCGGUGG
rnacentral:rRNA from 1 species